rnacentral:pre_miRNA from 1 species
UGGAGAAGAGCCUGUGAAGUUAGCCAAGAUGACUGCCCGGAGAACCCACAUAAAUAUACACUCGCUCAAUUUAUUUUUUCCUGAUUAAUUUAUGUGGCUAAUCAUAUAUAUUAGGGAGAAAUGCAGGCAAGUCAUUCUUGGCUACUAAACAAACCUCUUUUCU